rnacentral:lncRNA from 1 species
AUUUUUUGGUUUAUCAGGUAACAGAAUCCCAAGGACAAAUGAAACUUUCUGAUGAUGCAAAACACUUUUACUCCAAGGAAACUAUUUUAAGGUUUUCCACAAAAUGCCAUGAAUUCCUGGUGUUCCCGUCCUCAAGGGUCCCUUUGUCUGGACUUCUGUGUCCUUCCUAGGAAAACUAGCAGCCACACAGGCCCUAACACUAGCUGACAGCCUGUGUCAUCACGCACUGGGUGAUGAGCAAGCCGCAUCGUCUGCUCCGACACAGUAGGAAGUCACCAGCUCUCAGCAGUGCCAUGUGGUUGGAGGUUUUCCUGAUUGUUCCACACGGAGAUGACUCUUCUUCCUGCUUCGGGAUUUUGUUUUAUGAAAAUCAAGAGUGUUAGCAUUCAGAAAAAGAGCUUCCCUUUUAAAUGAUACAUGCCCAAAUAAAACAUUCAAACAAUGUGGAAAAGCACACACAAGAAAGUGAGGUAUCAGACAGCCAGCAUCCAGAGGGCGUUAUCGCUUAACAGGCCACAGAAACUUGGGAAGAGAAGGUCUCUGUUCCCUUCAUAGUGGUCCCAUUUUGUUGGCUCAGUCUGCUGUCAGAAAUCAGCAAAAAUCACCGCUGCACACAAUGUUCAGCUGACGUGGACUUUGCCUCUUGCUCACGUGUAAGGCGCUGUACAGCUAUCGCCCACCUGUCCAGCCAAUAUUUACUGUGCCCCAUCUAUGCCGAGUCAGGCUGGCUGUGGAGCCAGCACGUCCCAGAGCCUCUGGCCCUCACCUGGAGCACCCCUAGUCUUGUUGCAGUGUCCUCGGGAAAGCCUUCUGCUGAACACCCUUCAGCCUGAGGCUGCUGGGCUGUCCUGACCAGGCCGGAUGCUGCCAGGCCAGCCCGGAGCCUGUCCAGUGGCACUGAUCUAGAGUGUUCCCUGGACUGGCGUCUGCUGACCUAGGACCCUUCCCUGGUGGGCUCCCUAUGCCUAGUCCACUCUUUCUUUCUGACCAUCUCCUGUUUUGGGAAGCCAGAUGUUACAUAAGACCUGCUGUGAAGAAGCUGGAACUUAGUUCUUCCAGCAAGUUUUGUUACUCACUCUAAGAUGUCACAUCAGUCAAACCCGUUCUAUGACCUCUGGACACCCAGAGCUCCAACGUCACCUCCUGGGGCUACUUUCCUGAGCUCCCUGCUCCAAACGUCAGCGCCAUCCAUCUGGAGCCCCCGCCUUUAUGUAUUCUUGUUCAUAGCAUUUACCUACUUGACUCCUUACCCACGUCUGAUUGCGUGCUGGCUGUACCCCACUAGAAGGCCCCAGCCCUGUGCAAGGCGGGGGCGGGUGGUGAGGGAGGGGCCCGGUUUGUUCAUCCUGCAUCCCUCGCACGUCACAGUAGGCACUCGAUCAACGUACUCUGAAUGAAUGAGUGCAUGGAUGAGUGCAUCGUUCCAGACGGGCUCCUCCCUGUGACACUCUGCUUAGGCUGACCCAGAGCCCCUGAGACGCCCCGUGGAGAGGGAGGCCAGGGCUGCGCUGUUUCCUGUGCAAUCUGACCCUGAGGACACCCCUCGGCUUUAGCUGACAACGUUAGGUCAUUUGGCUCAUGCCAUAACGGCUCAUGCCUCCCAGUCUAAUGAUUUUUUAAGUACGCUUUUGGAUUUUCCUUUCAAAUAAACUAUCUCACCAGCUCCUGGUGACAAGUUGAACACCUCGGAGAUCACAGCACUGAGUCCUGGGGGUCAAAAGAAAUCAUUCAAAGCUGAGAAAAUCAAGUAGUAUUAAAAGGACAGAAGCUAACCCAGAGAAUUUUUUAAAUAACAUGAUAAACUAAAAUUGGGUAAUGGAGGGAGGUAGAGAAAGUGGCGGUGCUUCGGGUGGAGUAGUAAGUUCUGCCUAAUCUGAGCUACGUUACCCCGCAGAGCAGUAGUGUUACGAGGGCAACGGCAAGAUGAGCCAGAACCGAAAUAAUCAGCAGCAGCACAUGCACCCAAGAUGAAGAACACACAAACUAUAAACCAGGCAGUAAAAGAGAAAACAUGUAGAAAAUAGGACAGAAGUAAGACCAAGUAGCUCCAAAAUUUGACAGGGCUGAACUGAGCAUUUAAAUAUAAAACACAAACCCGCUAAAAGUUAAACCAUGAAACAUCUAGAAGGAAACAUAGGAGUUAGAAAAAGGAGUAAUUUUGGAGUGCAGAUUAGAAGUGUGAGUAAACGUUAAGACACCAUAAAACAAAAGAUUAAUAUGCUGACCGUAUACAGAUAGAUAGAAGAAAUCUGUAGGUCAAAAAAGGAAAAGAUGAAUAAAAUUUAAAAAGGAGGACCAAGCAUGAAAUAUACUUGCACCACACAUCAGAAUCAAAGCAGAUGGUGUCUUCACUUCCUGUUGCAUUACUGCACAUUAAUGACGAAAAGACCAACCACUCCACAGCAGGACCGGCAGGGGAGGUAGAGACGGAAACAGAAAUAACUGCCUCUCGUACACAAGGAAAGUCAAGAGAAAUGUAAUCAAAACUACACUGAGAUGCUCCUUCCCCACAUCGUAGUCAGGACACACUAGAAAGCAUGCAGAUGUCUCGCUGCCCUAGAGAUCCCUCUAGGUGCCCAACUCGCUCUCUUGACCUGGGGAGAAUGCUGCGCAUCUGUCUCAGCUGUCUGGCGCUGAUUGCUUAAGAAAACUAGAUGGGCACACCGCAGCCUUGAGGGGAGCCAGGUGAGGCUGGGCAUGUCCUCAGCAUCUGGAUCUGUGGGGUGCAGGAAAUAUUGAUCAUGUGAGUUUUGCAAACCUGCUCUGACAUUCUUCACAUUGAUUUUGCAAAUCUGCCUGUCUGAACUCCUAAGGAUUUUCUUUUUUGCAAUUUAUUAUUAUUAAUAUUUAGUUAGAUCAUAAAAAAUGCAAGCAAAUCUAAUCAGUCCAACUCUGUCUGUGGCAGGUGAUGAUUUUUGGCUACUACAAAAAGAAAUAUGGAUCCAGUUCGACCUCAGAUGCAGGGUGAGGUGAGAAUGCCUGAGCAGAGAUCCUGGCGUGUGAACUGGGACGUGUAAUGAAUGAGACAGAAGGCUGUUGUCCCUCAGCCCCCAGCAGCUGUCCUGCCAGGAGCUGCCCCCAGGGGACUCAGGGCCCACCACACAGCAACUUACCUGCUUACACCAAGUGCGCAGCGUCAUGACAAAGGGAAACCUCUCCCAAAAGACAGAGCGGGGAAAGAAUCGUCCAGCCUGUCUCGCCUUCCUGUAGAAGGAACAACAGUGGGACAGCGUUUACACUUAUCUGAACGUUGGUUCCUGGUGUUCAGGGCUCUCCACAGGUCUCAACCUCCCUGCCAUCCCCUCAGGCAUUCCCUUCGUUCGUCCUCUAUUCUCACUCCACAUUGGGAAUAUCUCCUCUCCUUCUCCUAGAAACAGGCCCAGGCUCUGCACAGUGUCCUUCCCACUCCUGAAAUAUGCUCAGGCUUUCCUUGGAAUCUUGGCAGGCCAGGGCCCAAGCACAUCCUGCCCAACUUCCUGUGCGUAGGUUUGCACUGCUCCCUCUCUGCUGGCAGCUGACGUGCUGCCGGUUCCACCUGGGAACGGGAUGGACGACUUCUGAGCAGGGUCAGCCCUCCCUGAGGUGCACUGUCAAAUGUCGAGGGAGCCAGGGUGCCUCUCUUCUCAGGAAGAUGCUCGUGCUUGCCCCGUGGCCCCUCGACAGCACCACAUCCUGAGAGGAGAAAAGUGAAGGCUUAGCGGGUGGGAUCACGCUGCCCACGAUCUUGGCCCGGGUCCCUUCAGUGCUUCCUGGUUGUCUCCUCGUCAGCACAGAUGGAGAAAAUAACAAGACGACCAACAGGCUGAGCUGGACAGAGACCUUUCCUUUCAGCAUCCUGUGAGCCAGCCAGAAUUAGCCCUGAGCUAACAUCUGCCACCAAGCCUCCUCUUUUUGCUGAGGAAGACUGGCCCUGAGCUAGCAUCUGUGCCUAUCUUCCUCUACUGUAUAUGUGGGACGUCUGCCACAGCACGGCUUGACAAGUGGUGCACAGGUCUGCACCUGGGAUCCGAACUGGCAAAGUCCAGGCUGCUGAAGCAGAGUGCGCUAACCCUACUGCUACGCCACCAGGCCAGCCCAGUAUUUUAUUCUUUUUGAUGCUAUUGUGAAUGGAAUUAUUAUUUUAAUUUCCUUUUUGGAUCCUUCAUUGUUAAUGUAUGCUGCGUGGGCUUCCACCCUGAUGGGCAUGGAGAGCAUGAUCCAGCUGUGUCCAUAAGAUCUUAGAACACCUGUACAGCUGGAAGAGCCCUGGCCAGCCUUGGUUGACAAGGACUCAGACUUUUCCAGGAAAUGGACUGGUGCCCAGAGAGGUCAACUGCUCACAGCGUCUGCCUAGUAACCAGAUCCACAAGAGCCAAGCUUGGCUCCAGUCCUCUCUCCUGGCCCUGCCACACGCUCCCAGCAUCUAUUUCUUACAACUAAUGGUGCUGAAAACUUAAUAUCCACACCUGCUGAUGCCUGUUGACAUGCGAAGUGAAUCUGCACCAGAUCAGUGAUGCUUGUAGAACACGGACACAAUAAAUGGAUUCUGAUGCUCCCUAAAUGCCAGCCAAUCUCUUUCAGACCUCAGCAGGAAUACAUUGAAUUGAUAAACAGACUCUAAAUAAACCUCACCGGAAAUCACAAUGUGGCCCCUUAGAAAAGAGCCAAACCCCCUCCAUCCACAAUGACGAUGUGGGUCAGGAACCAAACUGCACACAACCCUCAUCCUGGGCUCUGAGGGUGACGCGUUUGCUGCCAUGGAAAGUGUUUGGGCUCCUCGCUCCACCUGUAUCCUCAGAGGCCUUAUCUCCAGGGCAAAGGCAGCCUUUCUGGAGGUGGAGACCCACCAUCUGUUGUCAGUGCUCUCUUCUUCCCUGGCCUCUGAACUCUGCAGCCCCAAACGGAAGCCCUGAAAGCAGGCUGUGUGUGGUUGCAGCCUGGUGAGCCCCUGCCCUGAGGGCCCUUAUCUGCAGCCACACUUCUGGAGCCAGGCCAGUGACCUUGCUCCACCGAUGAACUUCCCCACUGACUUCUCAAUUCCUGGAAUUGUUCAGAAAAUCCCGUUGGAAAUCCAAGGACGGCUGGGUCUCUCAGUGCUGCUGCUUGUGCACAGAGAAAGGAAGAGCUAUGGCCUGACUGUGGGGCUCUGGGGUCUGGGAAUCCCACACUUUCAGGGGCUUGUGGGGAGGGGGCUUAGAUUCUGUCUCCUUCUGCUGGUCGUGGUUCCUGGAAUGUGGAAGCAAGCCUAGAUCCUAUAGAAGCUUCUCAAGUUCUUGGCCCCCCGCCCUCUAAAGGGAAACCUUUAGGAUAAAAAACAAUUCACCUCAUUAGAAAGCACCCCUCUUUUAAUAUGAAACACAGAAAUGAAGAAGACAGAAAGGAAAGAUGAAAGAAAUAUGAAAAGGCAGCACCUUUCCAGCUCUCAUUAUGUGUCUGACACUGCGCAAAGGACUUGAUCAACACAGACCUCAUUUCGUUCUUAUAAUAACCUAGGAGACAACCAUCACUGUCACUCCCAUUUUACAGAUGCGGAACUAAAGUGCGGGGCAGCUGCAUAUCCAGAACAGCCCUUUCAAGGCCCGUGUUCAAACAUCGUUAAGAAUUUCAAGAUGGCGACAGUGGAGCAUUAAACACAGCAUGGGCCCUUCUGGGCGCGGGCCACGUGACUCGUCUCAGCGAGCAGAGGAGGCAGCCUCUGGAGGUAGGCCCGAGCUCUUAACCACCAUGCAUGUUGCAGGUUUCAUUACAAAUAGAACUUCUUUCCUUCUAUUUUGCAUUGGUCCCCUGCAAGCUGGGUCACGCAAUCCUUCAGUCAUUCAACAAAUAGUCACUGAGUUGGGACUAGUGGCACCAGAGAGCUGGUGUUAAUAACUGAGGGGACCCUCCUGUUGGCAUGGCCUCUUGGGUGACGCCUGCCAUGUUUGAGUCUCCCCAUUAGGGGACCAGGAGCUGGCCUCACCUGCCUGAGCUCUGCCCCCUGCACUCCUUCCCCUGUGGGACGGUGUCCAGAGGCCUCCAGUGGGAAGUUGUCACACACAUGGGCACUGUCUCAGAGCUGCCAGUGACUUAAGCCUUGAAAGAAAAGUUUCCUAAUCAUCUUGGAAAAUGGAGUAGGAAGCACUUUUGCUGGCAAUUAAGUACUAUCCUUUCCUAGGUGUAUGUGGUAAGUGCUUAAUAAAUGCUGUCUCUUUUUUUUUUUUUAAGAUUAGCACCUGAGCUAACAUCUGUUGCCAAUCUUCUUUUUUUCCUUCUUCUCCCCAAAGCCCCCCAGUACAUAGUUACACGUUCUAGUUGUGAGUGCCUCUGGUUGUGCUAUAUGGGACGCCUCAACACGACCUGAUGAGCCGUGCCACGUCUGCGCCCAGGAUCCGAACCGGCAAAACCCUGGGCCGCCGAAGCGGAGUGCGCAAACCUAACCACUCGGCCUCUGGGCUGGCCCCAUAAAUGCUGUCUUUGAGGCAAGUGCGAAUGGGGACGAGAGGGUGAGCUCUGGCCUUAGCCCUGCAUCCCUGGGUCUGAGAUCUGGUUCACCAACGCCCUCCUCUGGGGACCGUACAGCCCCCUGAAGACUAAGUGGGUGGAUUGCAUCUCAGACUAGACUCAGGUGCAGGACACUCAUGACGUGUGAGCUCUGUGCCAGUUCACUGGGACCAUGUUCUAGGCAGAAUCAAUCCAUGCUGAGGCCAACUUGAUAUCCAGGCUGUUUUUCUUGGGUGUAGGGAAAAGAUAAGAACCAGGAAAUUAAAUAGUGCAUGAUCCACACAACCAGAAAACAAACAGUAAUGGCUCUGACUAUACAAUGACAAGAGGUGGGGCCUUCCCAGACACAGGGAGGGGCCGUGGUGAUGGGUCUGCGGCCGCCUCACAGGGCAGUCAUCAUUGGAAGCUUCUGUGAGCCUGAGAGACCUGACCAGUCGCUUCACUCACUGGAGGGGCUACUUUCGGUCAGAUUAUCAGAAGGUUCUUGAGGUUCAGGUCAACUUAAGCUAGCGGAUGCCAUGUCAGUCUGAUGAAUAUGACAGCUGCCCACCGCAGGAAACAUGGGCAGUGUUUGUGUGGCUGAAUCUUUCAAUUAUGGUUGAAAUAAAGACUGGUUUGUGGACAAAUACGAAAUUGGGCUAUUCUCCAGGGCACUUUAGGAAUGCUUAAAAGAGGUAACUGAUGCCCCCAAAGCACAAACACUGGAUGCUGGCUUCUCCAUGCUUCUCAGGAUGCCAAACAUCUGGAUUAAGACUCGAUUAAGACUCUGGUUUAAGACACCAGAGCACUGGCAGACAGCUUCAUUACCCACAGUGAGCCGUGUGCAGGUCACAUGGGGCACUCAACAGUGAUUGGUUGAUGGAAUUGACAGCAUGACCUGUGAAGUCCAAUGUUCCCCCAAGAUGCAUUUCUAGAGCACCAGUGUCCUACAGGACUUUAAUAAAUGUUACUCAGAGAAAAAGCUUCCAUGGUCCGUUGAGUUUGGAAAACACUAAAGUAAACAGUUUUCUUUCUUUAGGAUUUACUGGUGCCUUUAAUUUGCUAACAGGUGCUUACUUACCCAGAGGGGGUAAGUAUGAAGCUAUACACAGAUUUAUUAGACAAAACGCUCAAACCUCUUUUCUUUUUUAAAAAACGUUUCUGGAACAUUUAUUGACUUGUGGAAAAUACAUGAUCCAAGGAGAAGAGCUGGCCCAGUGCUGCUGGAGAAAGCUCAGUCUCCCCGCUCCACACUUGGCUGCACUGAUUUGAGGUCUCAUUCAUUCUGCUGCAUUCGAAUCCUUGUCAGGGACAUGGAGUACCAGGAAAUUUUGUCAGAGUUUACAUAUUUGACUUCUCUAAGGCCUUUGCAUCCUGUUCAGAAACCUCAAGCCCGGGCUGCAUCUUUCCAGGCCUAUGAGUGAGAAGCCUGGAAUGGUAGGCCACAUGAAGAUGGCCGUCUGGAUUUUGCCCUCAGCUUUUCCAUUCUGAGGCUUUGGGGAAAGCAUGUCACAGGAAGCCAAAAACACUGGAUAAGAAAAAGGAAGCGUUGGGAUGUGAUAAGUGUAGUGUAGGUUUUGGCCAACACUUUUGCCUUCCUAGUUCUUUUACGUGGGCUGACGAUAACGUUUGUUCCACUCCCACGCGCGUGCUAGCUGGAUGGCCUCGCUCCCUGAUGGCAGAGGUGGGUCCUACAUCUGCACCCUCUUCCCUGAAGGGGGAGCUGACAUACAGAGGAGCUGUCUUGGGUUGGGACCCUAUAACCUGCACCUGAGAUGAGUUUGCUGGCGAGAGAUCUCAGGAAGUGUCAGCUAGGAAGUGAGGGAUGAGACGGGUUGAAAGGAGCUCAGACAGCAUGCUUCUGUGAGCAGAGCAUCACGGGCUUUGUCCUGCUGGGCCACCCACUGCCAAGAGUGAGAAGGAGCCCUCAUCUCUCUGGCUCAGACCUGCUCCCAGGGAUGUUAGCUCCUUGGCUCUUUAGCCAGAGAAGGCCCUGGGGAGAUGCAGAGGCUGGCCCUUGGCUGCCCAGUGUUGUCAGGGUGCAGAGUGCCCAGGAACUGUGGCUGGGGCCGGAGGUGACACGCCUCUCCAGCAUUUUUAGUUCAGAGCUUCUUGGUCAUGGAUCACUCUGCGACGCAUCUUCUUUGGGUGACGUAAUGGCAUGGACCUUGUCUCACAGGGUGACUGGCGGGCAUGGCACUCGGCCUCCAGGGAGGACUACCCUCUGGAAAUUCUCUGCUCCUCCCGCUUCUCCUUCCUUUGCCCCUACCCCCACCUUUCAAGCCCACCUCUGCCCUUCGAGGUGACACUCAAGUCCCAUUUACCUCAGGGAUGCCUCCCAGACAGCGCUGGGCACCUGGACCAGAGAUGGCCCUCCAUGGACCCUGGAUACGCAUUUGUGGGGUCCUCUCCCUGAAUCCCGACUCUAACGUCUGUGCUAUGGGGGGUCUCCAGUGCUCAUUCUGUACCUCACUCCCAGGGCAGCACCCAGCACACAGGGGUCUCCUACUGGGAGGUGUCAGUUAGGCGAGGACAUCAUGCAGGUGGUCCACACCCUUAGCUUGGGGAUUUUUACCCGUCACCACCAGGGAAAGGGCAGCCACCCCAACAUUGCCGGCGAGCCCUACCCUCCCUCUCCAAGUGACAGAGAUGGCUGGCCACAUGGUGGAGGGUUCACAGGUGGGGUCCAUGUGGAUUCCCAAGUCUCUGGACUCUACCGCUUGUCCCAUAAGUAUUUAUUGCCCAGUGCCAGUUCAGAGUUCAGAUGCUAGGGUUUGAAUGGUGCUAGUUCACUACGUGACCUUGUGUAAGUCACUCAGUGUCUGUGUGCCUCACUUACCCCAUCUGUACAGUGGGUGUGACAAGAGAACCUUCCUCAGAGGUUUCUGUGAGGACUGGAGGAGAUAUGUAAGGAGCCCAGCACGUGCCUGGUGCAGAGGAAGACCUGCUGAGCUCUGGGCCACCGCUAUCGCUCCUGCAACUCCUGCCGGCGCGGGCCUCUUACGGGGUAGCAAGGUGACCCAGGCCUGGUCUUUCCGUGCCUUGAGCACAGACGGUUUUUUUUUUCUUAUCAACUUUAUUUAGGAAUAAUUUAUGGGCAAUAAACUGCGUCCAUUUAAAAUGAACAGUUAGGGAAUUUUGACGGUUUUAUGCACGCAUAGAACCACAACCACAGUCAAGAUACUGAACAUUUCUGUCACCUCCAAAAGAUUCCUGUGCCCCUUUGCAGACCCGUCUGGUGCCUGGACCCAGGGGACCACUGACCAGCUUCUAGUCAUUGGAGAUUAGUUUUCUUUCUAUGUAAAUGGAAUCGCACGUGUACUCUUGUGUCGGACUCCUUUUGCUCUGUAUAAUGGCUUUGAGAGUCACAUGCUGUCAUGUGUGUCAGUGGUGCUAUGGUCUGAGUGCGUCCCCUCGAGUUCGUGUGUUGCACCCUAACUCCCAGGAUGGUGUGGGGCGCCCUGCCUUCAGGAGCCCUUAGGCCACAAAGGUGGAGCCCUGCUAGCGCUUCCUAAGAGAGCUGCCACAGAGACCCCUGGCCUCCUCCACUGUCACCUGGGACUCAGAAGCGCGCCUUGCCGGGCCCCACCUGCACUCUGGUCUCUGACCCGCAGCCUCCAGGACUGAGAAAUAAAUUUCUGUUGUUCUUAAGCCAGUCUGUGGUAUUCUGUUAGUAGCCAGAACGGACUAAAGUUUGUUGAAGACAAGUAGUUUGUUCCUUUUAACUCCUGAAUGCAAAUUGCAAU